rnacentral:lncRNA from 1 species
GGCCUCUGCAUCAGCGCCUGCCUCCAGGUUCUUGUCCUGCUUGAGUUCCUGCCUGACUUCCUUCAGCGAUGAACAGUGAUGUGGACAGGUAAGCUGGAUUAACCCUUUCCUUGCCCAGUUGCUUUGGUCGUGGUGUUUUGGUCACAUCAGUACCAACCCUGACUAAGGCAGGAAGCCUUCGGUCAUUAUGACUUCAUAUGUCUUCCUGCACUGUCAUGGGAUGAAUACGCCUUCCCAUUGAAAAAUCAAGUCAGGGCUUAGAGAUUAAGGAAAAGUUCUCUAAUAACAGCCCAAGGCUGGUUCUGGCUAAUGCACAAAGGGAACCAGCCCCAAACAGAAAUUUCCAUCAGCUUACACGGUUUCACAGCCCCAGCUUCGAGUGUGAGCACCUAAACAUGUUUCACAGAGACGGACAUUUCAAGAUUGGUUGUUUGGACAAACAGGGAGAUUUACUGUUGCAGUAAAUCUCCAACCCAAAUAUGCCCCGGCAAUGAAAACACAACUCAGUUAAUAUGAAUACAUGCUGUGCGCCUAGAUUGGGCAGAUCUACCUCUACACCACCAUCUUCCACAUCGACGAGGCCCCUUAGAACUUGCGGUUUCUCCAGGCCAUGGGCUUCUGCUCCACUUUUCUUCUUCCUCCUCCUCUGCGUCCUCUCUCUCUCCCAUUUUCUCCUUCUCUCCCCCAACUUUCCACUCUACCCUCCCUUCCUCUGUCUAAUCAUCAGCUCUCCUUUAUUUUACAAAUUUAGGUGUGAAGCAGGUUUACAAGAAAUCACCUGAGUGCAGACUCAUUCCUUGUUCACAACCCCUCACAGGAGAACGGAAUUAACAUCAAAUAUAAUUAGCCCCAGGGAUAUCCACAAUUUAUGACGUCAAAACCUUGCCACUUUAUCUCUGGACAGACCAGGACUGCUAUCCCUAGGCAGCUGCUAGCUAGGGCCAUCCUGCCUGGCUGGCAGAACCAUGCUCCUCCUAACAAGAGAACUGGGAAGCACUCCUUUAUCUAAAUUCUACAUAGUGUAGCUUAGUUUUUCUUAAGCAACUUUAGUAUUACUCCCCGUUUGUCCUAGAUGAAUACAGUGCCUUUCUCCUUAUUUCUGAAACUCCAACAGCUCGAAUAGCUAGAUCUUUGUGUGUUACUCCACACAAGGUUUUCCCUGACAGCUUUUGGUGAUUUCUGAUCUGCUUUUUCAAAUGGGAUACUUUCAUUUGGAUUCUAGUUGGUUUUCUUCGUGUGUUGCCCUCAUUUCUGUUACAAUGUUUCAGAUGUUGAGUUUUCUAGUUAAAAAGUUUCUGUUCCUUUUCUCGAUGUCUAUUUUCUGUUAAGAGCUAGUACCUUUCUGUUGGUGGAAGACUAAGUGUUUUGUCCCAGCAUCUAGGGCACCUGGCACUGUUAACCCUCCAUUUUCUUUUUCCGUGCGAAUAGCUCGUCUUUUGCUGGUGUUUCCUGUGAUGGAAAGCUUUUGAUUCUUUGAUGACUGUGCUGUGGGACUCCAUCUUCCCAUAGCUCUCUGCCAUCACUGAGUAGGUCCAUACCAGUCCCAUCUUGUCAUUUCUGCCAAGAGUUCCUAUUGUCACUUAAGCUGUUAGGAUCUGUCCUCUCUCUGUUCCUUUGGGUGUAGCGCAUGCUUGUGCCAUGUAGAGGUUAUCCUGGGACCCAGGCAGGAGUUUCAGUUAAAACCUCGGCUCCUUCGACCUUCACUCUGCUCUUCUGGGUACACACACACACACACACACACACACACACACACGAAGGGUUAUUAGUUAUUCCUCCUGUUGCUGUGAAAAAUCUCUGACCAGCGCAACUGAAGAAAGGAAAGGUUUAUUUUAGCUGCAGGCGUAAGGGUUCAAUCCAUCACGGCAGGAAGGUGUGAGGACAGGAGCAUGAAGCAGCUGGUCACAGGGCAUCCACAGUCAGAUGUGGUGAAGCAGGGAAUGGUGAGUGCGGGUGCCGCACUCCCUUUUUCCGCCCAGCUGCAUCGUAGAACAGAGCAAGUUCAUACCUGUCUGAACGCAACCACAAACCCAUGAGCAUUCUAUCUAUCUAACUUAGCUUUUGAGGCAGGGUCUUUCUGUGUAAUCCUGGCUGUCAGAAAAUCUCUGUAGACGAGGCUGGCCUCAAACAAACUUACAGGGAUCUGCCUCCCGAGUGCUGGGAUUAAAGAUGUGUGCCACUGCACCUGGCUUUAUGAGCAUUUUAUUUAUUCUAAACCCUUCCUUAAGGCUUCAUUGUAUGUGUAUUGGUGUUUUGCCUGUAUGUAUACUCUGUGCAUGGCUGGUACCUGAGGAGGUCAGAAGAGGGCAUUAGAUCCCCUGGAACUGGAGUUACAGGUGGGUGUGAGCCACCGUGUGUGUGUGUGUGUGUGUGUGUGUGUGUGCUGGGAGUUAAACCUGGGUCCUCUGGAUGGGCAGCCAGUGCUGUCAACCACUGAGCCAUCUCUCCAGCCCCCAUCCAUGAACAUUGAAAUGUUCACCCUAUACUUCUAACUGUUGGGGUGUCUGUUACACAACCUGGGAACUUCAGACUGUGUACAACUGUGCUCUCCCAAGUCUACGUUCCACCUCCUCUCCGCCUGAUGCCCUUCCCCCACUGUGUUUGAUGCCUUUGGAUAUUCAUUCCAUUACGAACAGUGGCCAGCCAGGUGUGGAGUCCAAACUGUCAAUAGUGAUAAUGCAAAGUAAAGCCUUUAUGUCUGGCUUUGAGUAAAAUGUUUCAGCAGAGCCUAUGCUAAGUUUGGGUCGAUCCAUAGAGGCUGAGAAGUAUUUUGAGGCUGUUUGAACUUAGAGAAGAAAUGUUGUGUCUCUCGAAGGUCCGCACUUGGUGCUACCUGAGAGCUUGCCGCCACACAAACCUUGAUCCUAAGACACGCGUGGCAAACCUGGAGUUCUUCCUCUUGAUUUCCGGCUAGCCGUGAUCAAAGCGACUGAAGUUCGUAUGGGUCAUUUGCUCUCUCUGGUAGCAAAGGAAAGAAAACCAACCUUGGUAGUUGGAACCUUUCCCAGACCUAAUUAAUUUUGUCUAAUGAUUGAAUAAACGUAACUGGCG